rnacentral:rRNA from 1 species
UGGAGGCAGCAGUGGGGAAUAUUGGGCAAUGGACGCAAGUCUGACCCAGCCAUGCCGCGUGCAGGACGAAGGCCCUAUGGGUUGUAAACUGCUUUUUUACGGGAAGAAACCCCUUUACGUGUAGAGGGCUGACGGUACCGUAUGAAUAAGGAUCGGCUAACUCCGUGCCAGCAGCCGCGGUAAUACGGAGGAUCCAAGCGUUAUCCGGAUUUAUUGGGUUUAAAGGGUGCGCAGGCGGGCAUAUAAGUCAGUGGUGAAAUCUCUCGGCUCAACUGAGAAACUGCCAUUGAUACUGUAUGUCUAGAGUACAGAUGAGGUAGGCGGAAUGUGUCAUGUAGCGGUGAAAUGCUUAGAUAUGACACAGAACACCGAUUGCGAAGGCAGCUUACCAAACUGUUACUGACGCUCAUGCACGAAAGCGUGGGGAGCGAACAGGAUUAGAUACCCGAGUAGUCC